rnacentral:rRNA from 1 species
UACAGAGGGGGCAAGCGUUAUUCGGAAUUAUUGGGCGUAAAGGGCGCGUAGGCGGCUUUGUAAGCCAGAUGUGAAAUCCCCGGGCUCAACCUGGGAAUGGCAUUUGGGACUGCAAGGCUGGAGUGUGGCAGAGGAGACUGGAAUUCCUGGUGUAGCAGUGAAAUGCGUAGAUAUCAGGAGGAAUACCGAUGGCGAAGGCAGGUCUCUGGGCUGACACUGACGCUCAUGCACGAAAGCGUGGGGAGCAAACAGG